ACGUUUGAAAAGCAUGAGAAGUGAA
rnacentral:misc_RNA from 1 species